GGCUCAGAAGGAACGCUGGCGGCAGGCUCAACACAUGCAAGUCGAGCGGGCACCGCAAGGUGUCAGCGGCAGACGGGAGAGUAACACCUGGGAACGUGCCCUUUGGUUCGGAACAACUCCGGGAAACUGGAGCUAAUACCGGAUAAGCCCUUACGGGGAAAGAUUUAUCGCCAAAGGAGCGGCCCGCGUCGGAUUAGCUAGUUGGUGAGGUAAUGGCUCACCAAGGCGACGAUCCGUAGCUGGUCUAAGAGGAUGAUCAGCCUCACUGGGACUGAGACACGGCCCAGACUCCUACGGGAGGCAGCAGUGGG
rnacentral:rRNA from 2 species